rnacentral:rRNA from 1 species
AUUGAACGCUGGCGGCAGGCCUAACACAUGCAAGUCGAGCGAGCGGCGGACGGGUGAGUAAUGUCUGGGGAACUGCCUGAUGGAGGGGGAUAACUACUGGAAACGGUAGCUAAUACCGCAUACCAUCGGAUGUACCCAUAUGGGAUUAGCUAGUAGGUGGGGUAACGGCUCACCUAGGCGACGAUCCCUAGCUGGUCUGAGAGGAUGACCAGCCACACUGGAACUGAGACACGGCCCAGACUCCGACGGGAGGCAGCAGUGGGGAAUAUUGCACAAUGGGCGCAAGCCUGAUGCAGCCAUGCCGCGUGUAUGAAGAAGGCCUUCGGGUUGUAAAGUACUUUCAGUCGGGAGGCGUUACCGGCAGAAGAAGCACCGGCUAACUCCGUGCCAGCAGCCGCGGUAAUUC